AAACAUACUAAGCAGAGAAAGAGACUAAGAAAAUAGAGCAAAAUGUUAGCAACUGUUGUCUAUGGAUUUGGGACUAGAUUACAGGUAAUUUUCCUUUUUUGUAUUAUUUUGUUCUUUCUAUAAGCAAGAAUUGACUUUAUAUUAAAAAAGAUUGUGUUGCAAUAGUUUUGUGAAAAUUAAGAUCAAUAUUUUCCUUUGGUGUGAAAUAGUGAUAAUACAUUGUAUUGUCCCCAGCACAGUAUCAUCUGUUCUUAAGAGAUGUGGUAACGUCCUUUGGGAAUAUUGCAUUAAGGUAAAGCACAAGAAAAGUAGGGGUUAAGUGACAGACGGCAAUUAGGGAAUAGAUCCACUCUAUGUCUGAAAUUUCUAUUUUCUUUUCUUUUUGUUUUUUUCAGAAACAAAGUCAGCUGCUGAAAUGACUACUGCACUAAUUGACUGAAUUCUUACCUUAUCCUAAGUUAGAAUACCAGAGACUAACAAAGAAAUCCAUGAAGGUGAUCACUUGUUCCAGGCUCACAUUUGGAAAGAAGAGGUUCUGUGCAAGUCACAAACUGCAUCAUGAACUCUUUUCGGUUUGCUAUCCAAGUGUUUUCCAGAGACCGGCAGAAAAUGAGAGAUGGCCAGCAUUCCAGUUAUUCCAUAGCCUUCGAGACAAUAUCCAUGCUCAUACCUUCUCUUCUAAACAUCAAACGGGAUUAUACUGGACAGAGGGCUCUGCAACUGGCUUUUUGUUUACUUAAUAAUUGACCUUCAACCACUCUCCAGGUCAACACACAUGCGUCAACUGUGCCUUAAAAAAAUAAAAAGAUUUGUGUGGUCAUCCGCUGCAUGGCUGUAUCAUAAUUUGACCGGCUCUGCCGGUGCUCAUGGAAAUUUCAGUUGUAUUCUGCUGACUGCUCUCAUGGACAAUGCUACUCUGAAAGGUGAGUCCUUGUACAUAUUCAUUUGCAUACUCAAUCAAAUUAAUUCCAGGGGAGAAAUUCCUAUAAGCAGAAUUGCUGGGUCAAAGGGUAUUCGCAUUUUAUAUUUUGGUAAUUAUCGUUAAAUUGCUCUCCAAUAACUCUCCUCCUAGCACAGCCUGAGAACUCUCUUUCCCCAGUCUCCAGAGGUGGAAUUAAACUUUGUUUGUAAUGAAUAGAUGAUUUCUAUUCUAUUGUGUCCACUUAUUUUGAAAGUACAGGCAUUUUUUAUUUGACCAAAGAGAAGAGGAUAAAGGACGAGAUGUGUGUAAGUUUGUCAUAAUUCAACUAUGAGCAACAGCAACUACUAUUAACAAAGUAAAUCCAACACAAAAAUUACGUCAUUAACUCCCAAGUCACAUAUAAAUGAUUUGAGGAUUAAGGAAACUCCUGUAUAUCCUAGCAGGCAUGGGUAAUUGAGAACUGUUGGGUAUUAACUACUCACUUAAAAAUGUAAAUUAUAAAAAAAAAAAAUGUAAAUUAUAGUUCGCUAGCUGUUGAUCUGGGGCUUAUUAUGUGCCAGGCACGCUUCUAGCUCUUUACAUAGAUUAACAUUUAAUCUUCACGACAACUCCGUGAAGUAGGCACUAUGAUUAUCUCCAUUUUAUAGGUUAGAAAAAUGAGGCAUAGAGGUCUCAAGUAAUACGAUCGAGGUCAUGCAAGUAAUAAAAUCAUGGAGCCAGAAUUCAAACCAGGAUCCUGACCACAGCCUUUGGGCUCUCAACUACCAUGCUAUCUUUGAAGUUCAUCUUCAGGAAAUAAGGAUGCAUUCCACAGUUCUCCACAAAGCUUUUCAUCACGGCAUUUACAACAGGGAAAAGUUCCUUACCUGCCUUUGGGUUGGAGGUGCCCCUAAUAGCAAGAUCUUGCAAUGGCUAGAUUAUAGGUCUUUAGUUUUUAUUUUGCUUUUCUACAUUUCCUCAGCGACCGCAUAUUGCUUUUGCAAUAAGAAAAAGUUACUGUACAAUACUGACGGUUCUGAAGAGCGGAACACUUUCAAGACCAGAAAAUGGCUCAUCUUUCCAAUGUCUUCUCCAACCUUCCUACCAACAGCCACUCAGCAGCAGGAGGGCUUUGCUACCUCAAACCACAAAACCACGUAGACACCAGAGGCAAAGUUUCACAAUUCCUGACUGUCACAUAACCAUGUUGGUGACUCACACACUUCACACAGAAAUCAGGAGGAUACUCUGUGCCCACUCAACCGAGCACAGAUUUGAGCAUCACAGGGUCUGUAUGCCCAGUGGAGUUUACCACGGCAGGGGAGUGAGAUGUGCAAAACACCACAAACCCCAAAGCAGAAUGUGAUGAGAGCAACUGUUUGCUUUGAGAAAGAAGAAAGAGAAAGCACUUCUGGUUGGGGCGGGGUUAAGAGGCGGCAUUUGAAAGAGGCUUUAAAGGAUGGGGAGAAUUCCAGCAGAGACUGGAAAGGCCCUGCUAAGGGCUGCUCAGGGGUUGUUGGCACUCUCCUCUGAUGCAUUUUUUGUUUAAAUUCUUCUGCUGCGCAGUACACAGAGCGCUUAGAAUCCACUGCCCCCAGUGACACUGGGAUAUGGAUUGCUGAGAGCCCUGGAACAGCUCCAAGGUUAACGCUGCAGGAUCUUGGAUGGGUUGUUGAGUUUGAAGCCGGGCUCCACCACACUCAUUACCUAUAUGACCUUGGGCAAGUUCCAUGGCCUCAGCUGACUCAUGCAUAAAAUGGGGAGAAGAGCUCUUCAUACAGUUCUUGCGAUGAUUAUGUGACUUACGUCCUGUGAUCGGCCAUGAGAAGGUCAUGGUAGUCGCUGACCCAAGGAGAGUGUGGGACAUCCAUGGAAUAAACUGGAACACAAUCUGAAAUCUGGAGCCAGGUCCAGUUAACCAGAAGCCUAAAACUGAGCCACACUUGUCAACCACAAGUGCUUGUGGUAUGAGGGCCUUCCUGAGGAUUUCUUGUAAAGGGGGUGGAGGAGUUUGUGGCAAUGCACUCCCUUAACUUUUAUCUGGGAAAGUUUUUAUUUCUCCAUCAUAGUUCAAGGAUAUUUUCACUGGAUAGAGUAUUCUUGGCUGAAAGUUUUUGUCGUUCAGAAUUUUGACUAUCAUUCCAGUCUCUCCUAGCCUGUAAGGUUUCUGCUGAGAAAUCUGCUGAUAGCCUGAUAGGGGGUUCUUUUGUAGGUUAUUUUCUUUGGCCUUGCUGCCCUUAAUAUUUUCUGUUUGUCGUUGACUUUUGCAAGCUUCACUACUAUAUGCCUUGGGGUUGGUCUUUUUACAUUGAUAAAGUUUGGAGAUCUAUCAGCUUCUGUCACAUGGAUUUCCAGCUCCCUCCCCAGGUUUGGGAAGUUCUCAGCUAGUAUUUCUUUGAACAAGCUUUCUGCUCCAUUCUCCUUCUCUUUUCCCUCUAGGAUCCUA
rnacentral:lncRNA from 1 species